ACAGCAAAACCACCAGUGUUGAUUUUACAGAGUUCGCUACUCUAGAGUGGUCAGGUGUUAGUUGUAGUGUUCGUUUAUAAUUUAUCAUCACUCACAGUGUCAGAAACUUCCACAAGGGGGUGUUGCUUUCCAGUGUUCCAAUAAUAACGUUUGCGGGGAGUUAAGAUUCACGCCACGCCCCUUCUUUCUGAAGCGGGAAAGUCAGUUACUCAGCAUCGACCGACCUGGACUCACGUUACUGAGGUUUGGAACAUGCUGCUGAAGUUGGUUAUCAGGGCUCCAGGAUAUGUAUCAAACUGCAGGAUUGAUUUAUUUUUGCUCAUUAGUGAAGGUGGUAAGCUAAACUGACUGUGGACUAAUGUAUGCAUUGUUGAUGACACUGAAAUCGAGGAAGACAUUCUACAAGAUGUGCUGCUUACAGUUAGAGGACAAAAUGAAGAUGCAACAAGCAGCUUCUGCCACUGUCAUUUACCAUCUGAACUUGACCAAAGUCGUUCCAAGAAAUCUAAGACAACAGAUGACUCCAUGACCGAGGUAAAAGAAUACACAUAGUAUUUUCACUAUGCAUAAUUAAAUGUGUGUGAAGAAGUAACAAGCAAACAUUUGUUGUGUUUUGGAAGAUGGUCAUUUGUGCCAUUAAGCAGAAUAGUGGAAGUCCUAGUCAACAUUUUUGUUGCACAUAUUGGUAAAUGCACUUCAUUAUUUUAAUUUAAUUUGUCAAAAUACAUGCUUUCAUAAAUGAUGACUUUCAAAAUCUUUAUUCAUUUGUCAAAUUGAAAUGUGUCUGUCAUCUUAUGUAUUAGAGGUCGACCGAUAUGGCUUUUUCUCUGGCCGAUGUUUAGAAAUCAGGGCAGCCGAUAUGUUUGGCUGAUUUUCUACAUGUACAUAAUAAUCAAAAUGUUCUCAUCAUUAGCAGAUAUUUUAAAUGUAAAAAUGUCACUAUUUAAGUCAAAGUAUUUAAAAAUAUAUGACUGGUCUUUCUGAAGAGUUUUACAACCUCCUCUGCACCAUGCAUUUAUCAGACACAGAUAUUACCUGACACUCUGCUGUCAUCAUCUUUGAUCAGUUUUUUUCCAUGGCUUUUAUUGCUUUGUAGGAUAAAAUCCUUAUUUGGUAGACCUGAUAAAUUAUUUAUUCAUCAUAAAGUUAACAUAGUAAAUGUCUAUGUUUUUUAGUUGAGACUGUUAUUUAGGGCAAAUCUUUCUAAACACAUUUACAUUAUCAUUUCUGAGGCGCUAUAAGUGACUGAUUGUGCUGACAGUGACGUCUUGUUCCGCCAUCGUUUACUAAAGUUGUUUGUGAACAAGGCACGGCUGCACACACGGGAGCUAUCUGCUUGCAGCAAGAGGCAGCGUCACGAGUUCUACAACAACGCUUAGGUGCCCGCAGAUGCGCCUGUCUAUUAUUCGGCCUAAUUUUGCAGCAAAAUCGGCCAAAGCCGUUUUUUAAAAAUAUGCCAAAAAUCGGUCAACCUCUAUUAUGUAUUGUACAUAGAGCUGGGUAUUGGCAAGGGCCUCCCGAUACGAUACGUAUCACGAUACAAUGCGUUGCAUGUUGUGAUACAUUGCAAUACUUUUUCUUUUUUUUAUCAAAAAUGUAAAAAAAAUAGAACUGAACACCUGCAGCUCUUUAAAUUUUCUGCCAUUUUCUCACUCCCUCUAACUUCUGAGACAUUGGCCGUAUAUGGCAGACAACUGGACAGUGACAACUACAGCAGAGGCAGAGGAGGUCAUUUGACGCACACAGAAGAAUUUGAUUGGUUUUAAAAUAUCAAUAGUAGCGAUCGAAAUAUCGAUACACUUUCGAUACAGCCAACUAUCACGAUAGUUAACUGUAUCGAUAUUUUUGCACAGCCCUAAUUGUACAGUAUUGUGACAUG